rnacentral:rRNA from 1 species
ACGCACGCUGGCGGCGUGCUUAACACAUGCAAGUCGCACGGAAAGGCCCUGCUUUUGUGGGGUGCUCGAGUGGCGAACGGGUGAGUAACACGUGAGUAACCUGCCCUUGACUUUGGGAUAACUUCAGGAAACUGGGGCUAAUACCGGAUAGGAGCUCCUGCUGCAUGGUGGGGGUUGGAAAGUUUCGGCGGUUGGGGAUGGACUCGCGGCUUAUCAGCUUGUUGGUGGGGUAGUGGCUUACCAAGGCUUUGACGGGUAGCCGGCCUGAGAGGGUGACCGGCCACAUUGGGACUGAGAUACGGCCCAGACUCCUACGGGAGGCAGCAGUGGGGAAUAUUGCACAAUGGGCGGAAGCCUGAUGCAGCAACGCCGCGUGCGGGAUGACGGCCUUCGGGUUGUAAACCGCUUUCGCCUGUGACGAAGCGUGAGUGACGGUAAUGGGUAAAGAAGCACCGGCUAACUACGUGC